AGAUUCAGAGCCUUUGGAGACCGAGUCGAGGGACGAGGACAUCCCGGAGUGGAAUUUUACGUUGUUAAGAUCCUGGUGAGUUAGAUCACGACGAUCGUUGAUUUCAGGCCAGCUAUCUGUGGAGAUUGCAAGAUGUUGAGGACUCGUGCUACCGGUCAGGAGGGACAAUCAUCAGCUCGAGCCGCGAGAGGUUGAGGCCACUAUAGAGGUCGUGGUAGGGGCGGAGAAAUCGCCGGCGUAGCAGCUUGGGCAGCACCUGCAGUUCCCCCAGUUGUCCCACCCAGGAUUUGGUCCCGGAGGUAGAUAUUCCGGCGGGACCAACCCAGGCACCCCCUGUGCCUAUUGUUAUUCCGGGCUUUCAAGAGGCAUUGGUCCAGAUUCAGACGGUCGGGCAUCCCCGAGUCGUGUUAGUUUUGCUGGUAUAGCCUUAUGACUGUAGUCAUUUAUUUUUUUGCCGGAGCAUUUUAGUCCUGAGUGAAGUGGUUUCGGCAUCUAUAUCGAGGGUAUUCCCUUUUAGGGGUCUUAAAAGUUUGAUAUAUAGCCUUAACUUUGAGAUAUGGUUUAUGCCUUUAGUAAGGUCUUACAAGUUUUACAUGCCCUUGAGGUAUUACAGUUUUGGAUAUUUGGUACAAGUAUGGUUUAUGCCUUGCUUGAGGUCUUACAGAUAUUGUCACUUGGUACAAGUGUGGUUCAUGUCUUGCUUGAGGUCUUACAGAUAUUGUUGUUGCAUUAUAUAGGUCUUAUGAGACUAAGGUUGCCCGCAUGUGGUCUUAUGGCCUCGGGUUUUGAUAAAUCGAUGUAGAUGGCAAUUGACAACAGUCCCCGAGUCA